GACGAACGCUGGCGGCGUGCUUAACACAUGCAAGUCGAACGAAGUGGCGAACGGGUGAGUAACGCGUAAUCAACCUGCUCUUCAGCGGGGGACAACAGUUGGACACGACUGCUAAUACCGCAUACUGAAGGUGGGGAUUGCGUCUGAUUAGCUAGUUGGGGGGGUAACGGCCCACCAAGGCGAUGAUCAGUAGCCGGUCUGAGAGGAGGAACGGCCACAUUGGGACUGAGACACGGGCCAGACUCCUACGGGAGGGAGCGGUGGGGAAUCUUCCGCAAUGGGCGAAAGUCUGACGGAGCAACGCCGCGUGGGUGAUGACGGCCUUCGGGUUGUAAAGCUCUGUUAAUCGGGACGCGGUACCGGAAUAGAAAGCCACGGCUAACUACGUGCCAGCAGCCGCGGUAAUUC
rnacentral:rRNA from 1 species